CCAAUUUUCACUAUUGUAAUCACUGCUGCAUCACCCAGUCCAGCCAACAAAAAGGAGACAAAUGCACAGGUAUUUAUCAUGGGUUAACAAUGAAGACCAAGAAUUCUUCAGGUAAUGCUGCAGUUACAAGCUACUGCACUGGAUCGAACUGAAUAAGCACUUGACUGUAUCUUGUAGCCUGUCACAAAGGGUGAUCAUUUUCAAAGACAGCUGUUUGUUGAUGCCAUUGUCCUCUGCAACUUGUUCACUCCUCUGUAAAUCGCAUGACGUCUGGCCUUUCUGAUGAAAACAUUACAUUUUACCUCUACGUUAUUUACAAAAUCAGUAAACAUGGCAUUUUGUGGUUUGUGGAAAAAAUGUUUAAUUUGAUUAUACUGUUAAAGUCUGAAAAGGAGCAAGGAUUUUUUUUCUUACAUACUUCAAUAAAGGUUUGAUGUUUUAA